rnacentral:rRNA from 1 species
GAUGAACGCUGGCGGCGUGCCUAAUACAUGCAAGUCGAGCGAACGGGCGAGAAGCUUGCUUCUCUGAUGUUAGCGGCGGACGGGUGAGUAACACGUGGAUAACCUACCUAUAAGACUGGGAUAACUUCGGGAAACCGGAGCUAAUACCGGAUAAUAUUUUGAACCGCAUGGUUCAAAAGUGAAAGACGGUCUUGCUGUCACUUAUAGAUGGAUCCGCGCUGCAUUAGCUAGUUGGUAAGGUAACGGCUUACCAAGGCAACGAUGCAUAGCCGACCUGAGAGGGUGAUCGGCCACACUGGAACUGAGACACGGUCCAGACUCCUACGGGAGGCAGCAGUAGGGAAUCUUCCGCAAUGGGCGAAAGCCUGACGGAGCAACGCCGCGUGAGUGAUGAAGGUCUACGGAUCGUAAAACUCUGUUAUUAGGGAAGAACAUAUGUGUAAGUAACUGUGCACAUCUUGACGGUACCUAAUCAGAAAGCCACGGCUAACUACGUG